AUUUGUAAAAGAAAAUGUGACUUUUUAAUUUUAUGACGUGGUUGCAGUUGCAGGUUGAGCACCCGAGGUGAAAUAAACCAUUCUUAGCUGGCCGCCCGCUCCAUAACUACCGUAAUGGAGAUUCCUCUUUUUAGUCAAUAGUGAUGCUUGGAUCUCUACGAGCAACAAAUAAUGGGCAAUGGAAAUUGAGAAUCCCUUGUGAUGCUCAUAUUAUUCUCUCUGAUCUCCAGACUCCAAUAUACAGAGUUUUGUUGAUUGACUUUGUAUGUAGAUCAUAAAUAUUGAUGAAAAGGAUUUGUAUCAAUAGCCUCAUGUGGAAAAACUGUUCCAAAACUAAAGGUGAUGCAGAAUUAUGUAAAAAUGAUAAAGUUCGCGUGGCU